UACGGGGGGAGCAAGCGUUGUUCGGAUUUACUGGGCGUAAAGGGCGCGUAGGCGGCCACCGCAAGUCAAUUGUGAAAUCUCCGGGCUUAACUCGGAAAGGUCAACUGAUACUGCGGGGCUAGAGUGCGGAAGGGGCAACUGGAAUUCUCGGUGUAGCGGUGAAAUGCGUAGAUAUCGAGAGGAACACCUGCGGCGAAGGCGGGUUGCUGGGCCGACACUGACGCUGAUGCGCGAAAGCCAGGGGAGCGAACGGG
rnacentral:rRNA from 1 species